CCUACGGGGGGCAGCAGUGAGGAAUAUUGGUCAAUGGACGAGAGUCUGAACCAGCCAAGUAGCGUGAAGGAUGACUGCCCUAUGGGUUGUAAACUUCUUUUAUAUGGGAAUAAAAUGUUCCACGUGUGGGAUUUUGUAUGUACCAUAUGAAUAAGGAUCGGCUAACUCCGUGCCAGCAGCCGCGGUAAUACGGAGGAUCCGAGCGUUAUCCGGAUUUAUUGGGGUUAAAGGGAGCGUAGGUGGAUUGUUAAGUCAGUUGUGAAAGUUUGCGGCUCAACCGUAAAAUUGCAGUUGAAACUGGCAGUCUUGAGUACAGUAGAGGUGGGCGGAAUGCGUGGUGUAGCGGUGAAAUGCUUAGAUAUCACGAAGAACUCCGAUUGCGAAGGCAGUUCACUGGACUGCAACUGACACUGAGGCUCGAAAGUGUGGGUAUCAAACAGGAUUAGAUACCCGUGUAGUC
rnacentral:rRNA from 1 species